UUGAGUCAUUACAGUAAAACAUGGAUUAUAAGUGAAUUAUACGCGUAAGAGAAGAUUUUCUGUCGAAAAAACUAAUGUCAACAAUCAGCAUGGAACUGGGAUAUUCGUAUCAAAGGGCUAUUCAUGCAGGAAAAUGACUGAAUAUUACUAUUAUAUGAAGAAUUCCAGCCUGCAUUAAAUACUUUGUUGGAUCAUUGAGACAGAUUUGACAUCCAUGUCUAUCCACAAGGCAGUCACAUCUGAUAGAGAUGAUCACUAAACAUUCUAGAUGGGUAAAGAACCUGAAGGGGCAUGAAAACCAAAUCAGC